UUGCUCAAUCGUAGGAUCCUCCCGUCCUUCAACAACGUGGUUGAAACUUGAAACAAAGCAGGCAAGGUUCUAAAUGUUUGAAAUAGUCUGGAAAUACCCAGGACUAUCCUGAAGAGGGUUCAAUAAUCCAAUAUAUUAAAGUUCUAAAGCUUCAUUGGAUAUGACAACGCAAAGAUUAAGAAUUUAGCCCUCACUGUUGAUGUGGAGUUUGAUGUAAGUUGGUGCUAAACUGCUAAUUUGCUGCCAUCCCCUUUCGUGAUAUGUUCAAUGUCAAGUAAUGCAUAUUAAUAGCUGGACCCUGACAAAUUGUCACUCGCACAUGAGAACAGGCUGGUGAAUUCUGAGCUUCUUUGUGUCGGUCCAAUGUGCUAUGUGCAGAUGGGUUUGUUACAGCCAGCUGGUGAUGGGUGCUUUUCUUGUAACCUGUACCAGCUGUAUGUUUCAUAUAAUACAAAAACACUCAACAGAAUGAAUGUCACACUUCAGAACAAUUAAGGAUUAACAGCCUGGUGAAGUCUGAGCUUCUUUGUUGCUGACCAAUGUUCACAUGGAUUUGACAUAAGCGGCAGGUAAAGGUUUUUCUCUUGCUUCCUGUACUGCUGUGUGCUCAGUCCCUUGAAGAAACACUUAAGAACUAUUGAAGUUUCGCGUUUAUGUUCGCGUAGUUGCAGUCCGAUGUGGCACGUUGUUGCAGCCUAUGCUG